UCUCUUCUCCUCCGCCGAACUCACCGUGCCCUAACCUCCUAACGCCGGCGGUUACCUCUUCCUCUCCGAUCGAACGCCGGCCAAGCUUCUUCUUCCUCCUCGCCAGCGUUUGAGCAAGAGCCGGCCGACUUCCUUUCCUCCCGGAGCACGCGACACGCUGACCCUUUUUCUCCUUUUCUUCACUCCGCGGUGCCCUAGAUCUGCAGCGUGCGGCCGUUGCACAAAACGCCAGCACGGCGCCGACCAUCGCGGGAGUGCUCGAGUCUUUUCUCUCUCUGUGCCCUAGUUUUGGGUUUUACAGCUGUUGCCGCACCUCUGCAACUCACUGUCACCGGCCACCGUUUUGAUUCGCUGAGCCUUAGUCAUCUUCUCAGCCAUGUUUUCUCCACCCGACGGCGUCGCCAUCCGUAGUGCCGCCGACCUUCUCCACCCCGUCGCCUCUGCCCUAGCCGAACCUUGAAGAAAUUGGAGAGGCAGGGGGAAACAGUGAGGAAGGGCUCUGCUGUGCAGUGUUCCGACAGCAACAAUUAGAGUUCCAGCAGCAAUAAAUUUAAGCUGGCAGCAACAGACCUGGUGUGGAUCAACAAGCACGGCUACAAGUUAGCAAUUUAUUGUGUUGCUAGCAGCGACAAGUCGAUCUCCAAUUGUGCUGUUGACAGAAUCUUUAGAGUUGUGAGGACUUUGACGCGAGACGAGUAUCUCGGAGUCAGAUUUGGACCAUUUUAUCGGAG